GUUUGUUUAUUUGCUUGAUAGUGGCUGUCAAACAGCCUGCAUCUCAUCUUAUUCAACUGCGCAGUUCCCGUGUGCCAUGGUAUAAAAGUCAGACAUCGGAGUCUGUAGUUCAGGUGUUUGCGCUGCCAUCCAACCGUCGCCUUGUCUCCUGAGCCACAGCUUCCACUACACUUGUCCAUCACAGGAACUGUUUGUACGAGGGAACUUCUCGCCAUGACCAACAAACACAUCAUCUUCGGCCUGGCGGUCAUCGUCAUGUUGGCUGUUACUGUCGUUGCAGACGACGAACCCGAUGAUGACGACCAUGUUAACUCUGGCAAUAUCUGCUUUCUGUUCUUUGAUUGGUACAAUAGAAAUUGCUUCGUGUUACCAAUCUCAUCGCUGUGUCUUGAAACUGCGGACUACCUAAGACGAGUUUGUCGCUUUCCAGUUCCACCAGCCACCGGCUAAACUACAACAGCAACUGAUGUGAGUCACUCUGAUAAAGCACUAUUUACGCUGACACGGAGUUCAACACCAAAAUUUCCAAUCAUCUUUUUUUCGACUGGAUAUUCUUAGGAUAGAAAAGGACUGUGUAGAAUGUACCCGGGAUACUGCUAACAACAAAUUGAUGUAAAUGUAUUGAGUAUUAAACGAUUUCCUGAUCACAAA